rnacentral:rRNA from 1 species
CACGAACGCUGGCGGCAGGCCUAACACUUGCAAGUCGAGCGCCCCGCAAGGGGAGCGGCAGACGGGUGAGUAACGCGUGGGAAUCUACCCAUCUCUACGGAAUAACGCAUGGAAACGUGUGCUAAUACCGUAUACGUCCUUCGGGAGAAAGAUUUAUCGGAGAUGGAUGAGCCCGCGUUGGAUUAGCUAGUUGGUGGGGUAAAGGCCUACCAAGGCGACGAUCCAUAGCUGGUCUGAGAGGAUGAUCAGCCACACUGGGACUGAGACACGGCCCAGACUCCUACGGGAGGCAGCAGUGGGGAAUAUUGGACAAUGGGCGCAAGCCUGAUCCAGCCAUGCCGCGUGAGUGAUGAAGGCCCUAGGGUUGUAAAGCUCUUUCACCGGUGAAGAUAAUGACGGUAACCGGAGAAGAAGCCCCGGCUAACUUCGUGCCAGCCGCCGCGGUAAAAC